UACGGAGGGUGCAAGCGUUAUCCGGAUUUAUUGGGUUUAAAGGGUCCGUAGGCGGACCUUUAAGUCAGUGGUGAAAGCCUGCAGCUCAACUGUAGAAUUGCCAUUGAUACUGGAGGUCUUGAAUUCAAUUGAAGUUGGCGGAAUGUGUCAUGUAGCGGUGAAAUGCAUAGAUAUGACACAGAACACCGAUUGCGAAGGCAGCUAACUAAGUUGAUAUUGACGCUGAGGGACGAAAGCGUGGGGAGCGAACAGG
rnacentral:rRNA from 1 species